GAUGAACGCUAGCGGCAGGCCUAACACAUGCAAGUCGAGGGGUAGAAGGAGCUUGCUCCUUUGAGACCGGCGCACGGGUGCGUAACGCGUAUGCAAUCUACCUUGUACAGGGGAAUAGCCCAGAGAAAUUUGGAUUAAUGCCCCAUAGUAUAUAACCUUCGCAUGUUGGUUAUAUUAAAGUUCCAACGGUACAAGAUGAGCAUGCGUCCCAUUAGUUAGUUGGUAAGGUAACGGCUUACCAAGACGAUGAUGGGUAGGGGUCCUGAGAGGGAGAUCCCCCAGACUGGUACUGAGACACGGACCAGACUCAUACGGGAGGCAGCAGUGAGGAAUAUUGGUCAAUGGUCGCAAGACUGAACCAGCCAUGCCGCGUGCAGGAAGACGGUCCUAUGGAUUGUAAACUGCUUUUAUACAGGAAGAAACCCUCCCACGUGUGGGAGCUUGACGGUACUGUAGGAAUAAGGAUCGGCUAACUCCGUG
rnacentral:rRNA from 1 species